rnacentral:rRNA from 1 species
AUUGAACGCUGGCGGAAGGCCUAACACAUGCAAGUCGAACGAGUGGCGGACGGGUGAGUAAUGUCUGGGCAACUGCCUGAUGGAGGGGGAUAAAUACUGGAAACGGUAGCUAAUACCGCAUACCAUCGGAUGUGCCCAGAUGGGAUUAGCUAGUAGGUGGGGUAACGGCUCACCUAGGCGACGAUCCCUAGCUUGUCUGAGAGGAUGACCAGACACACUGUAAAUGAGACACAGUCCAGACUCCUACGGGAGGCAGGAGUGGGGAAUAUUGCACAAUGGGCGCAAGCCUGAUGCAGACAUGCCGCGUGUAUGAAGAAGGCCUUCGGGUUGUAAAGUAAUUUCAGCGAGUAGGCGUUACCCGCAGAAGAAGCACCGGCUAACUCCGUGCCAGCAGCCGCGGUAAAAC